rnacentral:misc_RNA from 1 species
AACAAGGCGUACCUGCGGACCUGCGGAGGGAUCAUUACCAGAGUGCCAUAGGCUCUCCAACCCAUUGUGAACAUACCUAUCGUUCCCUCGGCGGGCUCAGCGCGCGGGGCCUCCGGGCUUCCGGGCGUCCGCCGGGGACAACCAAACCCUGAUUUACUACGUGUAUCUCUGAGGGGCGAAAGCCCGAAAACAAAAUAAAUCAAAACUUUUAACAAUGGAUCUCAGAUCGGAAGAGCACAC